GUGGGGAAUAUUGCGCAAUGGGGGAAACCCUGACGCAGCGACGCCGCGUGGAGGAUGAAGGUCUUCGGGUUGUAAACUCCUUUUCUUAGGGAAAAUAAUGAUGGUACCUAAGGAAUAAGCCACGGCUAACUCUGUGCCAGCAGCCGCGGUAAGACAGAGGUGGCAAGCGUUGUUCGGAAUUACUGGGCUUAAAGGGCGAGUAGGCGGUGAGACAAGUCCGAGGUGGAAUCCUUUGGCUUAACCAGAGAACUGCCUUAGAUACUGUUUCACUUGAGUCAGUGAGGGGAGGGCGGAAUUCCCGGUGUAGCGGUGAAAUGCGUAGAUAUCGGGAGGAAGGCCAGUGGCGAAGGCGGCCCUCUGGUGCUGAACUGACGCUGAGGCGCGAAAGCGUGGGUAGCAAACAGGAUUAGAAACCCGUGUAGUCC
rnacentral:rRNA from 1 species